rnacentral:lncRNA from 1 species
AUACUCUUUUUAUUACAAGAGGUCACAAAAACAAUUUAAAACUGAUUCAACCCUAAUCGCCAUCUUAGGUACUAACACUAUGGAAUGUUUCUGAAUUGCCAAUACUAGAUGAUUUCAAAUCCAAGCCAAAUGGGCAACAGCGAAGCUAAUAAAAAAAGGAGAAGAACAAUCAAAAAGUACAGUUGCAGCAAAAUAUCGCCUUCUUCAAUAGUUGUGAUAACUCCCCCAUAAUCCAUGAGAAAGAUCUAUGAUAGGAGAGAGGAGAGAUAUGGCUAGGGUUAAGGUACUAACGCUAUGGAAUGAUUUUCUGAAUUGCCAAUACCAGAUGAUUUCAAACCCAAGCCAAAUGGGCAACAGCAAAGCUAAUAAAAAACGGAGAAGAACAAUCAAAAGUACAGUUGCAGCAAAAUAUCGCCUUCUUCAAUAGUUGUGAUAACUCCCCCAUAAUCCAUGAGAAAGAUCUAUGAUAGGAGAGAUAUGGCUAGGGUUAAGGUACUAACGCUAUGGAAUGAUUUUCUGAAUUGCCAAUACCAGAUGAUUUCAAACCCAAGCCAAAUGGGCAACAGCAAAGCUAAUAAAAAAACGGAGAAGAACAAUCAAAAGUACAGUUGCAGCAAAAUUCGCCUUCUUCAAUAGUUGUGAUAACUCCCCCAUAAUCCAUGAGAAAGAUCUAUGAUAGGAGAUAGGAGAGAUAUGGCUAGGGUUAAGGUACUAACGCUAUGGAAUGAUUUUCUGAAUUGCCAAUACCAGAUGAUUUCAAACCCAAGCCAAAUGGGCAACAGCAAAGCUAAUAAAAAACGGAGAAGGACAAUCAAAAGUACAGUUGCAGCAAAAUAUCCUUCUUCAAUAGUUGUGAUAACUCCCCCAUGAUCCAUGAGAAAGAUCUAUGAUAGGAAAGAGGAGAGAUAUGGCUAGGGUUAAGGUACUAACGCUAUGGAAUGAUUUUCUGAAUUGCCAAUACCAGAUGAUUUCAAACCCAAGCCAAAUGGGCAACAGCAAAGCUAAUAAAAAACGGAGAAGAAAAAUCAAAAGUACAGUUGCAGCAAAAUAUCGCCUUCUUCAAUAGUUGUGAUAACUCCCCCAUAAUCCAUGAGAAAGAUCUAUGAGAGGAGAGAUAUGGCUAGGGUUAAGGUACUAACGCUAUGGAAUGAUUUUCUGAAUUGCCAAUACCAGAUGAUUUCAAACCCAAGCCAAAUGGGCAACGGCAAAGCUAAUAAAAAACGGAGAAGAACAAUCAAAAGUACAGUUGCAGCAAAAUAUCGCCUUCUUCAAUACUCCCCCAUAAUCCAUGAGAAAGAUUUAUGAUAGGAGAGAUAUGGCUAGGGUUUUUACAUGAAGGGAGGGGAAUGCGGCUUUCACAAAACCCUAGCCAUACAAACACUAAUCCAGUUUUACUAAUAUCGCAGAACGAUCUCAUGAAUUACCAAAACCAUGAUGAUCGCCGAGGCGCAACAACAAGCAUCGCAGAGGAAGCUCUACGGUUUCGACCGACCGUCACCGGUAGCAACACACGAUCCAAUCAACAGCAAAGAUGAAUUCAAGAAGGAUAAGAAGGACUCACGAAGGGCUAGUAGUAGCAGAGCAAGCAUCACCGUCGUCAGCGGCCGCGGCCCCAUUCUCAUCGGCCGAAGGAUUGAAGGAGUCGAGGAAUCGCGAAUCGGUCUCUGGGGUUUCGGAGGAGAAAUGUCGAUAGCUUGCAUCGUAAGCGAGAACCCAGAUUUUCUUUGUUUAUAUUUUGGGAAAAUAUGAUCCUGAACUUUUCAAUUUCAUCCUAAGUUUUCGAUUUGCUCAAUUUAGUCCUGAACUACCACCUAAUGUACAAUCUCCUCCCUAGACUUUUAAUUUGUUCAAUUUUGUCCCUAAUUAUCGAUAAAUAUCGGAUCUAGCUAUUUGAAAAUUGACCAAUUUCAUCCCGAAUUUUUGAUUUGCUUAAUUUAGUCAUGAGAAGAGAGGAUCGUGGGAAAAUGGAGUUACC